rnacentral:lncRNA from 1 species
ACUCAAGGGGAAAUGUGGAAUUCUCUUUCUAGGCUGAAUCGUUGAGAAAGGCUGGUUGAACAAUGAAGAUCAUUCGGAGAGCCGAGCAUGCUCAGUGUUUAUCAAAUUCCAAGGGGGAGAUAGUCACAAAGACCUAUUACACGAUUUGUUAUGCCUAAUGACCAUCAUGCCUGUAUGCACCUGUGCCCGUGUACGCCUGUGGGAUUAGAAUAGGGCACUGGAGCCCCUGGGACUGGAGUCACAUGCUUUUGACAGCUGCACCUUUGAGCCAUCUCUCCAGCCCCAUGAAUCCAAGCUCUCCCGCUGCUGAAACAACGUUCAGCAUGUGGAGCUGGGGAGUCGGCUCUGUGGUUAAGAGCACUUGUUGCUCCUGCAGAGAACGUGGAGUUCGAUUCUCAGCACCCACAUGGCAGCUCUGUUGUCUGUUACUCCAAUCUCCAAGAGCUAUGGUGUCCUCUUCUGGCCUCUGUGGGCACCACCCAUGCACACCAUGCACAGACAUACAUCCAUACACAUUAAAAA